GUUUAGGGAGACGAAAGGACCCCAGAUCGACGUCCCCUCGUUCCCACUUUGGGGAUCGGCGCUCUGGCUGUUUCGUGAAGGAGAGAGAGGUGGGUCUCUUCUGGCCCCAGUGAGUGUGGUGUCCUGCUCCAAGGUGUCCCGGGGCUACUUUCCCUGUAAAGGCGGGACGCGGGAGGAUGAGACAGGAACUCAGAGUGGUUUUCCAGAUGGGAAUCACAUUGCUCUCUGUCCCUGAGAUCUUGCUGGAGACAGGGCUACUCAGUCCCUCUUUGCCAGAGAAGUGAUGACUGUUACCUAAGCCAAACAGCACAAUUGCCAUAGAGUC
rnacentral:lncRNA from 1 species